CCCUUAGAUGUUCUGGGCCGCACGCGCGCUGCACUGAUGCAUUCAACGAGCCUAUCCUUGACCGACAGGUCCGGGUAAUCUUUGAAUCUGCAUCGUGACGGGGAUAGAUUAUUGCAAUUAUUAAUCUUCAACGAGGAAUGCCUAGUAGGCGCAAGUCAUCAGCUUGCGUUGAUUACGUCCCUGCCCUUUGUACACACCGCCCGUCGCUCCUACCGAUUGAAUGAUCCGAUGAAUAUCAUGGAUUGAGGAUGCAAGUAGGUUAGCCUAUCUUCAUCUUCGAGAAGUGAAGUAAAUCUUAUCAUUUAGAGGAAGGAGAAGUCGUAACA
rnacentral:rRNA from 1 species